rnacentral:rRNA from 1 species
AACGAACGCUGGCGGCAGGCUUAACACAUGCAAGUCGAACGAGCUGGGACCUUCGGGUCCCGAUGCUAGUGGCGCACGGGUGAGUAACACGUGGGAACGUACCCUUUAGUACGGAAUAACUGAGGGAAACUUCAGCUAAUACCGUAUGACUCCUUCGGGAGAAAGAUUUAUCGCUAAAGGAUCGGCCCGCGUCUGAUUAGGUAGUUGGUGAGGUAAUGGCUCACCAAGCCUACGAUCAGUAGCUGGUCUGAGAGGAUGAUCAGCCACACUGGGACUGAGACACGGCCCAGACCUCCUACGGGAGGCAGCAGUGGGGAAUAUUGGACAAUGGGGGCAACCCCUGAUCCAGCCAUGCCGCGUGAGUG